rnacentral:rRNA from 1 species
UACGAAGGGUGCAAGCGUUACUCGGAAUUACUGGGCGUAAAGCGUGCGUAGGUGGUUUGUUAAGUCUGAUGUGAAAGCCCUGGGCUCAACCUGGGAAUUGCAUUGGAUACUGGCAGGCUAGAGUGCGGUAGAGGGUAGUGGAAUUCCCGGUGUAGCAGUGAAAUGCGUAGAGAUCGGGAGGAACAUCCGUGGCGAAGGCGACUACCUGGACCAGCACUGACACUGAGGCACGAAAGCGUGGGGAUCGAAACAGG